CUCUCUCUCUCUCUCUCUCUCUCUCUCUCUCUCUCUAUAAUACAACUUUCUCUCUCUACUGCAGCCGCACUCUCCGCUCUCCUGAUGUCCUCAUUAACAUGUCCUCAUUAACAUUACCACCCCUGGCCCUUCUUUCUUUAAGAGAUACACGCUGUUGUCGCAUCAACCAGAUGUUUUAUCGUUGACGCCCCUGUCUUCGCUGGAAAUUGAGGCUCCAGUUCUUCCUCCGUUUCCAUAUUCGCUAGUGGCUGUUUUGGACACCACAUAUUUGGAUUGCUAUUUUGGGUUGUGUGGUGGUAGGUUGGGUGACCACCUGAUUGUGUUACUGUUUUGGGUUGUGGUGGUGAUGUUUUGGUGGUGGUACUGGUCGGAGUGGCAUUGGGAUGGAAUGCGCCGGAUGAAAUGUAGGAUUAUUUUCCUUAAUAAUUGAUUGUGUAAUUAUUACACGAUCUUUAUUAUUUUCUUUUAGGUUUACUUGUAAUCCUAUAAAUUGGUCUUCUCCUUUGUAAUAUUCGCGAGACUUUAUUAUAUACAAUUUACAAUUUUCUUGACAUGGUCUCAGAACCGUUCCGAUCCUAAACAAAUUAACAAUUGAAUUUCACCCGACCAAAUUUUCUUUUAGUAGAAAUCCCAAAAAAAUUUUAAAAUUGCUCGAGAAAAUAGAGAUUUCAAAACUGGUAAAAUACAAAAUAUAUCUCUCAUUCUUCCUCUGUAAUUACAUUAUUACCAUUAUUAGGGGCCGUCUAAAUAGUCGACAGAGGUGGAACAGCCAAAGCAGCCAAGAUAAAAAUAAAAUCUAAGGUAGACAUCAGAUGAAUUCACAAGUGGUAGCAAGAUUCGACGUUAGGAGGGCCGAAAGCCUCGACUGUCGAUUAGAGUGACUAGCAGCUUGGGUUUAGAUUCUGUAGUGGAUUUGCAAGGUGCAUUACUGGCAGAGACGACGGAGUCAAAAUAUAGGAUAGAGACAAUCAUAUGUGGGUUAUUUAUUUUUCGAUUUUGGAUGUGAGAGGCAGAGGUGUAUGGUGGAUGUGCAUAGGUUAUUAAAUGGUGUGUAGCGAUGGAAAAUUCUCAUCGAUGGUUUGUUGGAUACCAUGGUAGAGAUAGCAAUUUUACAGUCGCUAUUUUAGUAGUUUGAACUACCUGCGUGGGUGGUGUGUGGUUUGUUGGAUGGCAUGGUGGAGAUAGCGAUUUUGCAGUCGCGAUUUUAGCAAUUAGGACUACUUGCGUGGGUGGUGUGUUAUCGAGUGUGGAGGUGGCGAUCUGACAUGGCAAGAAACUAGGUUCUUGGAUGUGGCUAGAGUUUUGUUAUUUCCGACAAGUGCAGGUGCAGAUGACGAGCUCGGCGAUGAGAUGACUACCGACGGGAGGUGUGGUGCCGAUGAGAUGAGACGGCGAUGAUUUAAAUUUUGAGGAAACCUUAAGGAUGAGCAUCGGUUCAUCUUUCUGGUACAAUUGGGCUGUGAUUUGUGAGAUUUGGGCGUGUUCUUGUUCUGGACUCUUCUUGUGGGCUAGGAAACUUAAUUGGUUUGGAGCUUAGUUGGGCUGGGUGAUUUAAGAUAUAUGGGGUUGUUUGUUAUUGUUGCAUAUUGUUGGGCCUACUAGGUUAGUGGUUAUUGGGUCGUUCAAUAAGUUGGAUCUUCAAAAAUAUGUGGGUUUUCUGGACUUAUCUUGGGUUUUAUAGGAUCAAAAAUUUGAAUUUGAUGGAAAUUAAUUUUGCUUGUGGUAAUUCGAGAAAUUCGAUUCAUCUGGUCAUUUAUUGAGUCGUUGGGAAUUUAAUUUGGGCAUUAGCAAUUUCGUUUGGAUUGUUUCCUCUUAUUUUAGUGUGGGCUUCAUUGUGGGCCGGUUUGGUUGUAAUUGGGAUGAAAAUGUGGUUUGGUUUUGGUCCAGUGUAUCUGGUAUUCGAAAUUUGGCACAAUUGGAUUUUGGAAUUGGUAUGUCAAGUUCAAUUGACAUUUUUGGUGUAAGUUGUUUGGUGGGAUUUCUUCCAACUGCAGCAUCUUGGUCAGCAAUAUUGCUGAAUUUUGGUCGGUGUAUUAGUGUUAGAACUUUUGUCGAAACACGAAUUAUGUGUUCAACUGAGUUCUCUCGACAGAUAGAACUCACUGUGUAAGUCGGCACACUUCGUCAAUCUCUUUUGAAAAUUCUUCUUAGGGAGUGAGUUCUCUGGAGCAUCUUUGGAGUGGUUGAAUCUUUGAUUCUCUUUGGUCAUAAUUCAACCUUUUAGGUGUGGGUUUCUUGUGGUUGUCCAUGGUUGACAGAAUUUUUGUUAAUGUGUGACUCUUGGUGCAUCAAGUGUGGUGAGAGCAUUCGGCAUUUUGGUGAUGAUUUGUUAGUGUCAUCAGUUUCUGGUCGGACAUUGAUUCUUUGUCGGGAAUCAUAUCGAGUUUUGAAUCAGUUCUUGGGUUUGAAGUUCAGCAACAUUAAGUUCUUGAUUUAUGGGUCCUACAAAAAUGUUGACUCGACAACACAUCAAGUUCGCGAUUGCAAAUUGAUGUUUUUACCAGCAUCAAUUUGAGGGGGGUGUCAGUAGAAUAUAAUAAUAUAUAGAAUCAAUAUUUCUCCAUGAUAGUUUUCCAAUAGUGUAGGAUUAUGUUCCUUAAUAAUUGAUUUGUAAUUAUAACACAAUCUUUCCUUUUGAGUUAUUUCAUUUGAGGUUUAUUUGUAA
rnacentral:lncRNA from 1 species